UGGAGUAGUAAUUGCUUGGAAGCUGUGAAUCUGAACCAACAUUGCUUUUAUGUUCCUCUUUGUUCAAUGUUUCUAUUGCUGAUGUAGGGAUCCCUGAGCUCUGAGACAGAACUAUCCGAGUACUUCUCUCAGGAGGUUCCUGACCACUCAGUCACAUCUGGGUCUGUUCUGAAGAGCUCAAACAAUGGUCAAGGGCUCCACCAGCUGGGCGGCAGAGCCUCAGCAUAUGGCCCACUACAACCACAAGCAUGCAGCACCUCUGUGACAGAUGUUAACCACAGCCCUGGAUGCAUAACAUCACACGACAAGACUUCUGUCCCUUUCCAUCAGCAUACAGAGCCCCUUUGCCAUGCCCUCGCUGCCUCCAGUACCACCUCAAUGAAGAGCCUACUUUUCCGCCAACGAAAGGUCAUAUACUCUGAGGAUGAGUUCAGUAAUGAUGAGGCAUCAGAUAAAGCUGAAAACACUGAACCACUGAUCCAGCAACAAAAACCCACAUCUCCACACUUACCACAGAUGCUAUCUAACGCCAUACCAAGUGGAGAAGAGAUAGCUACAAGGCUGGCGCCCAGACAGCUCUUUGAAAGGGAAGAUUUCAGAGGUUUUCACACUGUUAUCUUAAAGAGAAAAGAAGAAGAGACGUUCGGGCUGGACCUGGAGAUUAUGUCAUCACCUCUGAGAGUUAUAAUUGAUGGUUUAAAGCCUGACUGUGCUGCUGAAUGGAACUGUGAAACUAAACUCUGCCCUGGUGAUGAGAUUGUGAAAAUAGGAGGUAAACCAGUGAACUCUUCAAGCUACCAGGAAAUCUGUGAAUUUAUGCAUCAUCUUCCAGUGAUGGUGUCUUUGGAGGUGAGGCGAGCAACUUCAG